GUAGAGACUAGAGUCUCACCUUGACAUGACUAUUGGCUCGGUGUGCUAGAGUACUCUUAGAUUGAAGACUGUUCCUAUUCACCGACUGGCCUGUUUUGUAGUCCAGUCAACCACAUGGUCAGUUACAAAC